rnacentral:rRNA from 1 species
CCUACGGGUGGCAGCAGUGAGGAAUAUUGGUCAAUGGGCGCGAGCCUGAACCAGCCAAGUAGCGUGAAGGAUGACUGCCCUACGGGUUGUAAACUUCUUUUAUAAAGGAAUAAAGUGAGGCACGUGUGCCUUUUUGUAUGUACUUUAUGAAUAAGGAUCGGCUAACUCCGUGCCAGCAGCCGCGGUAAUACGGAGGAUCCGAGCGUUAUCCGGAUUUAUUGGGUUUAAAGGGAGCGUAGAUGGGUUGUUAAGUCAGUGGUGAAAGUUUGGGGCUCAACCGUAAAAUUGCAAUUGAUACUGGUAGUCUUGAGUACAGAUGAGGUAGGCGGAAUGCGUGGUGUAGCGGUGAAAUGCUUAGAUAUCACGAAGAACUCCGAUUGCGAAGGCAGCUUACUAAUCUGCAACUGACGUUGAUGCUCGAAAGUGUGGGGAUUAAACAGGAUUAGAUACCCUGGUAGUC